CACACCUCCUGUCACAGGCAACAGCAUCUGAAGGAUGCUCGCAGGUUUCCCAGUCUCUUUUCUCCCCUGGAGAAGAGCCCAAGAGGAGGGAAUGAUGCUGCAGCCGCCACCAGCCCAACAGGGAAAGCGUCCUGCAGAGAAACAGCACAUCUCAGCAUCCCUGGGGCCCACUGAGCACUGCAGGAUCGGCGGUUAGGAGAACACCUGUGUGUCAACGCCUUCCUUCAUUGCUUGUUCAAGACAUUUAGCUUCUUGCUGAGUGCUCCUGGCCCAGGGGUAAGGAUGCCAGCAGUGAUGGAAACUGAGCCAGCAGGUCUCACUGCCCACACUGACAGCAGCACCAUAAUAGGCUGAUACUAACAGGGACCAGCGAC
rnacentral:lncRNA from 1 species